UACGAAGGGGCUAGCGUUGCUCGGAAUCACUGGGCGUAAAGCGCACGUAGGCGGCUUACUAAGUCAGGGGUGAAAUCCUGGAGCUCAACUCCAGAACUGCCUUUGAUACUGGCGAUCUUGAGUCCGGGAGAGGUGAGUGGAACUGCGAGUGUAGAGGUGAAAUUCGUAGAUAUCGCAAGAACACCAGUGGCGAAGGCGGCUCACUGGCCCGGUACUGACGCUGAGGUGCGAAAGCGUGGGGAGCAAACAGG
rnacentral:rRNA from 1 species